CACACGAGAUGUCGAAAUAUUGUCAUUGUUCAAAGGACCAAUAAGUAAGUUACUUUCGAGUUGCGCUUUCUGUUAUUGAGUUGGCCGUAGUAAUGGAUUACGUCAGCUAUGUUUACCUUAGUGAUGGAAUUUGGCAAUCGUAUACAAAAGUGACAAAAAAUGAAUUACUCUUUUGCUAAGAUACCUUACGUAGAAUAAUUUCUUCAGGUGAACAAAUAAAGAAUUUUCAGUCGGUCAUGAAUGUCAACAGAAGACGUUGCGAUGAUUACUAUAUUUAGUAUUGAUUCAUAUCUAUCGCCCACAAAGGAGAGGAAAGGACUCAGUGUAUUAUGUGUAGCCAAGUUUUGUUAAAUUAUUCUAUGAAACCAUAUAACCAUGUUAAUCUUCUACACGAAUUUCAGGAAAAAAGUAAGCCUAGAGGUUUUUAAGGAUAAUUGCUUCUGAGUACGGGAGAUUUCAAAUAAGAAAGAUAAGAAAAAUACACCUGCACCUGGGGAGACUGGGAAACUUUGAUCACGGUUCUUGUUUGUGAAACCCGGAAAUUACAUUGCGAAAUAAAUUGGAAAAUUCUAUCAGUUUCACUAAAAUACAGUGCUGCUCGAAAGACGGUCAACGAUAUAGCUUUUGAGAUCAAGGGACAUGUGUAGGAGAUCAAGUGACAACGUUUUACUUAUAUUCAAUUGAACUUUAUGAAUCGGCUGAUAUGGAAUUAUGUUUCCAAUUCCUCUUUGCAAAAAAGCCUCACGCAGGUUUAUUUAUUUUAAUAUCAAUUAAUUUAAUACCUAUCAAGACCGCAGCUAUUGAAAGAAAUGCUACAUUUUUCAUGGAAUUUGUGGAUACUGUAGAGAUGGUGUUGGGAACAAAAUAUGGAUUUAAUGUUUAUGCAAAAUAUUGAGACCUGAAAUAAAAACAAAAAAAAAAAAACAAUUCAUUGUAGAAUAUAUAUUCAGACAUUGGCAUUAAAAAGACUUCCAAGGAGAAUUUGAGAUCAAACAAUUUCAAAUUAAAAAUAAUGUUAAAGGCGAUGCUCUCAUAUCACGAUGCAAACCAUCAUCUACUUCUUUUCCAUACAACUUUGUAGUUUAAAGAGGUAAUGUACGAAGUAAGAUGCUAGAAGCGAACUCAAACAUGUUUGAAGUUUAGGAUAUGAUACAAUGUCUAGCCUGAUUGAAUGAUGAGGAAGGGAUCAUGCGCUUCACCUAUUUACCUUUAGAUGAAAGGAAAAGGCACAAACAUCCGAAACUUCAUUCAUAUUUUGAAAGCUAUGAUGAGCAAAUUAGAAGACGGUAUGAAAAAACAAGGUCGGAAUAAAAAAAAUAUAUGCAUUGAUAGGUUUGAGAAAUGUCAUUUCUUGGGUCUGUCGGUGAACGCCGAAAGCAUCGAGAAUUUGCAUAAAAGGAAAUCUGUCAGCAUCUGACAGCGCUGGAAAUGAAUUCGGCCGAUGUUAUCAAUAAUUCCAGAUGAGAAGUUGGAUUCAGUACGAAAUCCAUUUAAACUUUCAUGUGAAAACCUGAUGGGUGUCAAAAUAAAUUUUUGAAGUUAAAGAAUAAUUAAAGAUGAAGAGAUAUGUUUGAUGAGGUAUAACUCACAAAAUUUUGGCUUUUGAGGCGUGAUUGCUACUAAGAAAAGGCGAAGGAAAAACCAUGAAGGUUUUGUUGUUGACCACGAUCUUCAUCAGAAUAUUGAAUUACGAUAACACAGC